UACGUAGGGUGCGAGCGUUACUCGGAAUUACUGGGCGUAAAGCGUGCGCAGGCGGUGAUGUAAGACAGGUGUGAAAUCCCCGGGCUUAACCUGGGAACUGCAUUUGUGACUGCAUCGCUGGAGUGCGGCAGAGGGGGAUGGAAUUCCGCGUGUAGCAGUGAAAUGCGUAGAUAUGCGGAGGAACACCGAUGGCGAAGGCAAUCCCCUGGGCCUGCACUGACGCUCAUGCACGAAAGCGUGGGGAGCAAACAGG
rnacentral:rRNA from 1 species